UAAUACGAAGGGUCCUAGCGUUGUUCGGAAUUACUGGGCGUAAAGGGCGCGUAGGCGGCUUACUAAGUCAGGUGUGAAAGCCCCGAGCUUAACUUGGGAACUGCACUUGAUACUGGUAGGCUAGAGAUCGGAAGAGGUGAGUGGAAUUCCUAGUGUAGAGGUGAAAUUCGUAGAUAUUAGGAAGAACACCAGUGGCGAAGGCGACUCACUGGUCCGAUACUGACGCUAAGGCGCGAAAGCGUGGGGAGCAAACAGG
rnacentral:rRNA from 1 species